AGUGAACGCUGGCGGUAGGCCUAACACAUGCAAGUCGAACGGCAGCACAGUAAGAGCUUGCUCUUACGGGUGGCGAGUGGCGGACGGGUGAGGAAUACAUCGGAAUCUACUUUUUCGUGGGGGAUAACGUAGGGAAACUUACGCUAAUACCGCAUACGACCUACGGGUGAAAGCAGGGGAUCUUCGGACCUUGCGCGAUUGAAUGAGCCGAUGUCGGAUUAGCUAGUUGGCGGGGUAAAGGCCCACCAAGGCGACGAUCCGUAGCUGGUCUGAGAGGAUGAUCAGCCACACUGGAACUGAGACACGGUCCAGACUCCUACGGGAGGCAGCAGUGGGGAAUAUUGGACAAUGGGCGCAAGCCUGAUCCAGCCAUACAGCGUGGGUGAAGAAGGCCUUCGAGUUGUAAAGCCCUUUUGUUGGGAAAGAAAAGCAGCAGGUUAAUACCCCGCUGUUCUGACGGUACCCAAAGAAUAAGCACCGGCUAACUUCGU
rnacentral:rRNA from 1 species